rnacentral:rRNA from 1 species
UACGUAGGCAGCAAGCGUUGUUCGGAAUUACUGGGCGUAAAGCGUGCGCAGGCGGUUCGUUGUGUCGGUGGUGAAAUCCCCGGGCUUAACCUGGGAAUGGCCAUGGAAACUGGCGAACUGGAGUGCGGCAGAGGGGGGUGGAAUUCCGCGUGUAGCAGUGAAAUGCGUAGAGAUGCGGAGGAACACCGAUGGCGAAGGCAGCCCCCUGGGCUAGCACUGACGCUCAGGCACGAAAGCGUGGGGAGCAAACAGG